GACGAUGCGGCUCUCUUCAAGUGGACUGAUGAACACACUCAGCUCCUUAUUCAGUGGAGAGUGGCUAAUGAAGCCCUCUUCACUGGAAAGCGUAAUGCUGCCAUCAAAGGUUUUGAAGCUUUUGUGACAGCAGGGACUUGAGGGCAAAAUUUCUGCGCUCAAGUCAAAAGUGGGAGAACCUAAAACAAAAA